rnacentral:rRNA from 1 species
UUGAGAAGACCUGUCCUUAGUACGAGAGGACCGGGAUGGACGUACCUCUGGUGUACCAGUUGUCCUGCCAAGGGCAUGGCUGGGUAGCUAUGUACGGAAUGGAGAAGCGCUGAAAGCAUCUAAGCGCGAAGCCAACUUCAAGAUAAGAUUUCCCACCGCAAGGGUAAGACCCCAGAAAGACUAUCUGGUUGAUAGGUCGAAGGUGUAAGUGCAGCAAUGUAUUUAGCUUAU